rnacentral:rRNA from 1 species
AUUGAACGCUGGCGGCAUGCCUUACACAUGCAAGUCGAACGGUAACGCGGGGGCAACCCUGGCGACGAGUGGCGAACGGGUGAGUAAUACAUCGGAACGUACCCAGUAGUGGGGGAUAGCUCGGCGAAAGCCGGAUUAAUACCGCAUACGACCUAUGGGUGAAAGCGGGGGAUCGCAAGACCUCGCGCUAUUGGAGCGGCCGAUGUCGGAUUAGCUAGUUGGUGAGGUAAAGGCUCACCAAGGCUACGAUCCGUAGCUGGUCUGAGAGGACGACCAGCCACACUGGGACUGAGACACGGCCCAGACUCCUACGGGAGGCAGCAGUGGGGAAUUUUGGACAAUGGGCGCAAGCCUGAUCCAGCCAUGCCGCGUGUGUGAAGAAGGCCUCGG